rnacentral:rRNA from 1 species
UGGGGAAUUCUGGACAAUGGGGGCAACCCUGAUCCAGCCAUUCCGCGUGAGUGAAGAAGGCCUUCGGGUUGUAAAGCUCUUUCAGCAGGAACGAAACGGUCGCCCCUAAUACGGGCGGCUAAUGACGGUACCUGAAGAAGAAGCACCGGCUAACUACGUGCCAGCAGCCGCGGUAAUACGUAGGGUGCGAGCGUUAAUCGGAAUUACUGGGCGUAAAGCGUGCGCAGGCGGUUCUAUAAGACAGAUGUGAAAUCCCCGGGCUUAACCUGGGAACUGCGUUUGUGACUGUAGGACUCGAGUGUGGCAGAGGGGGGUGGAAUUCCACGUGUAGCAGUGAAAUGCGUAGAGAUGUGGAGGAACACCGAUGGCGAAGGCGGCUCUCUGGAAUGUAACUGACACUGAGGCACGAAAGUUGGGGGAGCAAACAGG